rnacentral:rRNA from 1 species
AGAAUCAACGCUGGCGGCGUGCCUAACACAUGCAAGUCGCACGAAAAGGGUAGCAAUACCUGAGUACAGUGGCGCACGGGUGAGUAACACGUGAAUGAUCUACCUCCGAGUGGGGAAUAACUGAGAGAAAUCUUAGCUAAUACCGCAUAAUACCCACGGGUCAAAGCAGCAAUGCGCUUGGAGAGGAGUUCGCGGCCGAUUAGUUAGUUGGCGGGUAAUGGCCCACCAAGACGAUGAUCGGUA